UAGAGUUUGAUCAUGGCUCAGAUUGAACGCUGGCGGCAGGCCUAACACAUGCAAGUCGAGCGGUAGAGAGGAGCUUGCUCCUCUUGAGAGCGGCGGACGGGUGAGUAAUGCCUAGGAAUCUGCCUGGUAGUGGGGGAUAACGUUCGGAAACGGACGCUAAUACCGCAUACGUCCUACGGGAGAAAGCAGGGGACCUUCGGGCCUUGCGCUAUCAGAUGAGCCUAGGUCGGAUUAGCUAGUUGGUGAGGUAAUGGCUCACCAAGGCGACGAUCCGUAACUGGUCUGAGAGGAUGAUCAGUCACACUGGAACUGAGACACGGUCCAGACUCCUACGGGAGGCAGCAGUGGGGAAUAUUGGACAAUGGGCGAAAGCCUGAUCCAGCCAUGCCGCGUGUGUGAAGAAGGUCUUCGGAUUGUAAAGCACUUUAAGUUGGGAGGAAGGGCAGUAAAUUAAUACUUUGCUGUUUGACGUACCGACAGA
rnacentral:rRNA from 1 species